rnacentral:rRNA from 1 species
CUUAAAUUGAAGAGUUUGAUCAUGGCUCAGAUUGAACGCUGGCGGCAGGCCUAACACAUGCAAGUCGAGCGGCAGCGGGAAGUAGUUUACUACUUUGCCGGCGAGCGGCGGACGGGUGAGUAAUGUCUGGGGAUCUGCCUGAUGGAGGGGGAUAACUACUGGAAACGGUAGCUAAUACCGCAUGACCUCGCAAGAGCAAAGUGGGGGACCUUAGG